AACCGAGAUUCCCCUAGUAGCGGCGAGCGAAGCGGGAAGAGCUCAAAUUUGUAAUCUGGUACCUUCGGUGCCCGAGUUGUAAUCUCGAGAAGUGUUUUCCGCGCCGGACUGCAUACAAGUCUGUUGGAAUACAGCGUCAUAGUGGUGAGAACCCCGUAACUGAUGCAGAUGCCCGGUGCUUUGUGAUACACUUUCGAAGAGUCGAGUUGUUUGGGAAUGCAGCUCAAAUUGGGUGGUAAAUU
rnacentral:rRNA from 15 species